rnacentral:rRNA from 1 species
GCGCGUAAUGGCGGGGACUCGCAGGAGACUGCCGGGGUCAACUCGGAGGAAGGUGGGGACGACGUCAAGUCAUCAUGCCCCUUAUGUCCAGGGCUUCACACAUGCUACAAGGCCGGUACAGAGGGCUGCGAUACCGUUGAGGUGGAGCGAAUCCCUUAAAGCCGGUUCUCAGUUCGGAUCGGGGUCUGCAACUCGACCCCGUGAAGUCGGAGUCGCUAGUAAUCGCAGAUCAGCAACGCUGCGGUGAAUACGUUCCCGGGCCUUGUACACACCGCCCGUCACGUCAUGAAAGUCGGUAACACCCGAAGCCGGUGGCCUAACCCUUGUGGAGGGAGCCGUCGAAGGUGGGAUCGGCGAUGGGACGAAGUCGUAACAAGGUAGCCGUACCGGAAGGUGCGGCUGGAUCACCUCCUUUCUAA